CCACAUUACAAAUCUAUUUAUCUAAUAUAUAAUUCAUCAUGUCCAAACUUAUUGAACAUUAGUUUGGUUGAUGCAUUACAAGAAGAUAAAAGGCCAAUGGCAAAUAUUCGAUUAUUGAACAUGCAUCUGCAGAUAUUAGAAUAGUUGUUUAUGGGCUUCAUAUUUAUUUCACAAUUAAGAAAUAAUGAGAAGGCGAGAUGGAGAGAUGUCAUAUAAAUACCUAAGACAUGCGGAGCUCUUUCACUUUUAGUUACUGGAAUAAUAGAAAUAGGUGAUAUCAAAAACAACAGACAUGAGGACUUACGUAUGCGCAUUCAUAGUGCUAUGUUGUGCCCUGGGAAUAAAUGCAGGCAUAAAAUCCUUUUUCAAGCAGCGUGGUGGACCAGCGGCAAAUGCAAAAAAAUCAAGGGGUGCACCACAAUCAGAUAUAAGAGACCUUGGUAUUGAGUGCAAGGCAACUGACAGUUCCAAAUACAGAUACGCAAAUGCAUCCUGCAAAUAUUUAGUGUGCAAAGAUACAAUCUAUGAAUUGGCCCGUUGUGAAGAUGGAAAGGGUGUGACCAACAGUUUUAAAAUUGCGGACACUUCCAAUACGUAUCCUUGUUCCCGCAUUGCAUCAGAAUGCAGGAAAACGUUAGAGGAAAAGGGUUUAGGUGACAGGAACACUCAAGUUUGUGGGAUAGAUCUCGUUCUAAUAAUCGACAUGUCAGCGUCAAUUGAAUGGAUAGACAAAGUGAAAGUGAGAUCAUUUGUGAUAGAUAUGCUGAAAAACCUAAGGCUCGGAGAUGCAUUCACAUUGGUUGCAGGGGCAACGUAUGGAGCUGAGGUGCACCCUAUGCUUAAAUUUGAUUCGUACAAUAGUGGAACAUCGAUUAUAAACGCCGUAAAGAAAAUGAACAUGAAGCCGACAAAGGGGACAGCUACAUGGCUUGCCUUGAAACAGGCCCGAGAAUUUUUAACGACUGAAAAUGGACGGAGGAGGGGCAAAAAGGCUUUCGUACUCGUUUUGACUGAUGGAGUUUCUCACCCACAUACGAAGUCACCUGAAACCAUUAAGGAAGCUAAGUUAUUAAAAGCAAAGUCGAGUUACCAAGAAGGCGUUAGUCCACCAGUUGUCGCAUUAAUGUCACUUCCAAACAGAAAAGAAGAAACUAGAACCGGGGAGAACGGUAAACAGCUGUCAAAGGACGAAUUAGCCGACCUGAUAGAAUUAAAGAAAAACGAAUUUGCAGAUAUACCAUCACCGGGAUCGCAAUAUCGUUACGAUCUUGAAACUUACGAUGACCUCCAUACAGUUAUGAAUCCUAUACUCAGAACAUCAUGCGAAGACAUGUGAGCGGUUAGGACAUGGACUUUCUCAUGGCUAGGACAAUGCAACCCUUAUUUGUACAUAGUCGAUCACAAUAAAUUACAGUUUCCAAUUUAUAACAGCAUAUUCUAUUUUGUUAUUACUUUACCA
rnacentral:misc_RNA from 1 species